UUCCAAUUUGGGAGUAGAGAAAGUGUAUCUAAAAAAUCCUCCUUUGAUUCUUUGAUGGAGGAGCCUAUUUAUAGGCUUUGGGAAUGAACCACCACCAUCCAUUUGUUUUGGUGGAUGUUGUAGGUGAAUUGGUGGAUUGUUGUAGGUGAAUUUGGGUGGAGGUUGUAGGUGAAUUUGGAUGGAUUGUUGUAGGUGAAUUUGGGUGUAUGUUGUAGGUGAAUUUGGGUAGGUGAAUUUGGGUGGAGGUUGUAGGUGAAUUUGGAUGGAUUGUUGUAGGUGAAUUUGGGUGUAUGUUGUAGGUGAAUUUGGGUAGGAUUGUUGUAGGUGAAUUUGGGUGUAUGUUGUAGGUGAAUUUGGGUGAAGGUUGUAGGUGAAUUUGGAUGGAUUGUUGUAGGUGAAUUUGGGUGUAUGUUGUAGGUGAAUUUGGGUGAAGGUUGUAGUUUUAAUGCAAUGGUCAACAUUUAUUUCACUAAAAUUUCAAUGUUUACAAAUGUAAUUUUAAUGUGAUGGCUAACAUUUAUUUCAACGAAAUUUCAAUGUCUA
rnacentral:lncRNA from 1 species